GCCCGAGUGGCGGAAUAGGUAGACGCACAGGACUUAAAAUCCUGCGGUAGCGAUACCGUGCCGGUUCGAGUCCGGCCUCGGGCA
rnacentral:tRNA from 2 species